CAGUCUUUUUGUCCUCUACCACCCCGCUUCCCCUCCUCCCUCUUCAGCUGCUGUUAUUACGUGGAGUUUGGAACCUAAGCUUUGAAAACUCUCAUAUGGCGCCUGUCUAAAGUCGGAGCGUGCUUAGUA
ensembl:misc_RNA